GACGAACGCUGGCGGCGUGCCUAAUACAUGCAAGUAGAACGCUGAAGGAGGAGCUUGCUUCUCUGGAUGAGUUGCGAACGGGUGAGUAACGCGUAGGUAACCUGCCUGGUAGCGGGGGAUAACUAUUGGAAACGAUAGCUAAUACCGCAUAACAGUAGAUGUUGCAUGACAUUUGCUUAAAAGGUGCAAUUGCAUCACUACCAGACGGACCUGCGUCGUAUUAGCUAGUUGGUGGGGUAACGGCUCACCAAGGCGACGAUACAUAGCCGACCUGAGAGGGUGAUCGGCCACACUGGGACUGAGACACGGCCCAGACUCCUACGGGAGGCAGCAGUAGGGAAUCUUCGGCAAUGGACGGAAGUCUGACCGAGCAACGCCGCGUGAGUGAGGAAGGUUCUCGGAUCGUAAAGCUCUGUUGUAAGAGAAGAACGAGUGUGAGAGUGGAAAGUUCACACUGUGACGGUAUCUUACCAGAAAGGGACGGCUAACUACGUGC
rnacentral:rRNA from 1 species